CCCACUGUCUCCCAAAAGCUCAGACUCAGUGUGAAAGCAAUGACCUUAGAAAGAGCUAGUGCACAGGAAUGUGUUAACGACGCUGAGGGCUUCCUUGCUGUUUCUGCCCUUGCCUAAUCUAGCCCUAGUACUGAAUUUUAUGCAGUGCAUUAUCAGCUCAAUAUUUGCAUAGGUCCUGCAAGGCCAAAGUAUAAACAAAAAAAUGUUUUGCAGCGACAUAGCUGGACCACUGUGGUUUUAUGCAAAAAAACCUGGCUGAUGUUCUACCUGUCCUCAGUGCUGAUUACUGCAGAAGUGUAAGCCCGCAACAGCGUACAUUUCAGGAAUCACACGCAUCAUCCUGCAUUUGGGUUUGUUUUCCCUUCAAAAGAAGUGUUGAGAUGAAGAAAGCCGAUUUACAUGAAAGAGUAAUAAGAAUACAUCCUGUUCUGCUCCUUUAUCUUUUUUUGCUUUUUGCUUCUUUCUCUGUCUCUCCCUCCCCCACUUUCAUAAACAAAACCUCAACAAGUAAAAACUCCAAGCAACAGGGCCUGGGGAGAUGGCCCCGUCUAUGAAGUGCUACGGACCAAGCAUGAGGACUGAGGGUACUCCCCCAGCACCUCGAAACCCUGCGCAUGGUGGUGUACGCCCUGGGAGGUGGAGUCCAGAGGAUCAUUGGCACUCACUGCUACUCAGUCUAGCCAAAAUGCCUUGAUAUCUAAUGCUGUAUUUGUGAGGCCACCAGUCAUCAAGCCAUGCAAGUGCUAAAUUCCUUUUGAAGCUUUCAAGAGGCUAACAAUGGCCUUUGCUAUCCCAACCAAGAGGAAGUGACCAGGAGUGUUCGCCACCAGAGUGAAGAGUUCAUUGUCUCCUCCAGAGUGUGUGUGUGCACGUGUGUGAGUGCGUGAGUGAGUGAGUGAGUGAGUGUGUGUGUGUGUGUGUGUGUGUGUGUGUGUAUUGAAAAUGCUUCUCAUCCGCAGAGAAUGCAAGUGUUUCUUCAAGAGCCAUUUAAUGAAGGUGAUAUU